UCGGCCCGCUGAGGGGAGCGCGUCGUGCUUAGCAGGGCAGGAGAGCCCUGGCUUUUCCACGGGUGCUCUCGGCGGGUUUGCCUUGGAAGCCGCUGAGUGAGCUUCCACCUGCACGCUUGGGGAGGAGUAAACUGUGCCGUGUGCCGUAGGAAAGGGGGCACCUCAUCUUUAGCACGUUUGCAAUAAGUUGACCACGGAAAUUUUUUGCAAUAAAACACUGAAAUUGAAAGGCUGAUGAGUAGCCUGGCUCUGUUCUCAAUUGGAAAUGUUAUUAACACAUUUCUUACAAGAACCUUAAAGGCGCCACAAAAAUACGAACCACGCCACCUGGAGAAUCUGGGGUGCCUCAUUUGACAGGCAGCAAGUGCAUAUGUCUGAACUUACUGAACUUACCGAAUCAGUGUUGAGAAGUCUGUGGCAGAGCUGAGAUUUCAGCUUACCAUUUUUUAGCAUCACUGAGUUGCCAGUGAGUCCUGAAGUGCUGCUUCCCCACUUCCCUCAGCGAAGUGGAAACCCACGUGAGGCAGCGUGUGCUGCAGCUGCCCAUCGUGCCCCGUCUGUGCUUCCCGUGGUCACUGGAGCUGACACCUUCCUGAUCCUUUAAACCCUGGAGCGGCGUGGCCUAACCUCCAAAGGCCCUGCAAAGGCUCACGUCUCAUGGAAAAAAGCACUCUGUACAGCUGAUCUUUUCCUAUGUGCUCUGGCCUCUUCCAUGGGAAGUGGUACUGUGGCUCUCCAUAGGGCCAUGGCUCUUUUGCACACAGGCAUUUUGGACAUUCCGAAGCAAGGCCAAAGCCAAGGUCCUGCCUGGCUGAAAGCAGCUGCAAAAACGCCAGGUUGGAUACAUUUGAAGGCGUGUACAAUUGAAGGUGUAGGAAAAAAACCAUCUCCCUGGAGCCCCAUGCCAGCUCAGCAGCACCCACUCCCUGCAGGGAGCACAGCCAGGCAGGGGUGGAGCACAGCAACCAGCAGAGCAUAGAGGCUCAGUGCCACCCUCAUGCUCAAGACCCAUAGGGGCCAUUGACCCUCCUGUGGGACAUUGCAGUCCUGCAGAAUGACAUUCCCUUAAAUGAACUAAGAUGGUGCUGUCACAUGUGGCAUUAGCCCCAGGGAGAGCCAUCACAGGGCACCCAGCUGCAACGACACCCGGCUUCCCACUGGGUGCUUUUAUGCCUCUGUGAUGAAGCUUGUGAGAGAUCACCCAGACAGCUGAGCUCUGCCAAGGUAGAAGGACUGGAGCAGGAACCUGCCCGCACUCAGGCUUAUACUAAAAUAACUGAAAUGGCUUAAUUCAUACCUUUGAUUAUUUUGGUACAACUCCUCGUGGGGAAGCCAAAGUUAGAACAAAAGCAUUCUAUUUUAAUUUAGUGUAAUUAUAGCCUGUCUAUCUAGAAGAGCUGAAUUGCUUUAGUAAUACUACUGCAGCUAAUUCCCUAGAGUAUGGAUGCAGUUGUGCCGGGAUAAUGUUGAUUUGCCUUAUUUUUGUGGGAAAGGGGAAAAACAUUUAUGUGCACUGCAGGCUCUUUGCAAACAGCUGCAGCUGGUUGAAAGGUUACUGCCAUGGCAGCUUGUUGCCACACUUGAUCUUGGGUUUGCUGCCUCCAUAACAGAGCCAUAGAGCAAGUGUGCUCCACAGCCACCUGGCUGCAAAAUCACAGCAUUUCAUUCAGUAUUAGGUGCCUGCAGCCCAGCAGGUGUCCCACUGAAAAGCCUGAGAUUACUGUGUGGCUGCUGUGCUGUAAUGGUGAGGGAGCUCAGAGCUAUCUGUGGUGUGGUAACAUCUUGAAUGGUGAUGCUGUUUCAACAGUAUUAGCUCAGUAUUAGAGUAAUGCAGGUGACAAAUCACAUCCCUGAUCAAAGUCAGGUACCAACCCCAGCAACCAAAAUUGCCACAGGUUCUCCUUUUCCUUAAAGGGAGACACAAGGAAAAUUGAUUAAUUGCACAGAGGCUUGUGUCCCUUCUUCUGAAUUGAAAACAAGUCACCUUUCAGUGAAACUGUGAAGAUAGUCAGGAUCUGCUUAAAAUAAGGAAUAUCUUUAGUUAUUUCUGGUGAACUGCAUGGAGUAUGGAGACUGGAUACUGUUAUUUCUGGUGCAUUUCCUCCCUACUGCUCUGUGCAGGGGGCAGAGCCACAUUUGCAGCCCAGUGUCUCUUUCCAGUGCAUGCCUAGCUGUGUCUCUGCACCAGACAAGGCAUUGCUGGCAAGAGGCAUGCACAUUGGGAUGAGGUACAGCUUUUCAGGAUCUAGUUCCCUCAGAGUUCAUUCUUCAAGCUCUGAGCAGCACCCAAGAAAGUUGUCUCCUGCACACAUGAGCUUUGAUAGAAAAGCCCAUUGUGCCUGAGGAGCGGAGCUGUCAAGAGGAGUCUCCAUCUCCAAGCCAAGAUUUGUGUUACCCUUCUGCCAGAGCCCAGCAGCUGGUAGUUUUCCAUCUCCUGAAAUCCAGAGGAAUUUUCCACCUCAGGGAACAAGAAAUUGGAGAAAAGUCAAUAGACCAGACUAGCUUCAUACCACAUUUAUGCAAGGAAAGAAAUAAAAAGAGCACUAUAAUUAUAUUUUAACUACCUUUUACUCUCAGCAGCAUCCCAUAAAUCAGGUAUCUUGAUAGUACUGUGGAACAGCAUAUGAUGUUGGAAGUCAACAUGCAGUAAGUAUGCUGACAGUAAAUGCAGUAAAGACUGUAAGCUGGUUGGCUUUGGCCAUCUUGGGCAGUGUGUCCUGACAUGAUGAAGUCAUGACAGCAGAUGAAUUUAUAUCCAUUUUGUCCAGUUUUGGCAAAGAAGAGGUGAGCAGAUGUACUGCAAUCUGUGACACCAUGCCAGGAUGUAGCCCAGCCGAGGGCACAAGGAUGUGCAAGCCAUGUCACCCCUUACUGGCAAUGGCAAGUGGCAAAUUUAUGUCCUGGAUCAAUGCUGUGACAAGAACUCACUAAGACAAAAGAUGCAUAACCACAAGGAAAACUCCUGUAGGUGGGAGAUGAGAGGGCGAGCAAUAUGCACUGGGUGAGGACUCAUUUGAACGGCACCGAAAGAUGACGUGAGAAAUCUCCUCAUGCAACGCUGCAAGCAAAAAAAUGCCACUUGUACAUUUUUAAACACCUUCAGCAGACAAGUACAGCUGAUGCAUUGAGCCAAAAACUUGAAAAGCUUGACAAGGAGACAGAUGAGGGAGUGAGGCAGCACGCUCUGAACAUGACGUGCUGGACUGCGGCUUGUUCAGGGGAAGGAUAUGGCCUGCUGUGCAGGACUGUCACCAAGAUAUUGAUCUUUACCAAGAAGAGCAACCCCAAGUUCUGGAAAAAUAUCCAUCUGUGAUGACUCCAUCCAUUUUUCAAAGAGUUGGAUCCCUGUGACUCAACUGAGCCGAUCAUUGGCAGGCAGAUUGGAGCCCCUUUUUUCAGAGAUAAUCUGGAGAGGGAGGAAGUCCAAGAGCUAAACUGGAGGAGAAGAAAACAUACUUGGAUAAUGUGCUGCACACUGGUAGGAGAGAUGGAGGAAGACAGCUGAGCAGAGAAAAGGCAGCUCAGUUUGGACACAUCUCUGAGGAGCCAGAGCAGAGCUGCCUGCACUGGAAAUGGGUGUGGUAUCUGCAGCACAGAUACUUUUUGCCAGACUGGCUGUCAGCCAGCAGGUGAAUCCCCUUAUUAGUUUUCCUCAGCUGGCACAACCCCACUAGUUCCCCAGGUGGACUCCCAAUACAGCUGUCAAAAUCCUAGUCUGCCAUGCUUCUGUUCUUUAAGGGUUCUUUCCAGCAGCAGGGAAAACUUUCCUUUCUCCUAUGCAUUCCCUUCCCUGUUAGAGCCUACUAGUGAAUAACACCUCUCACUGGGCCGUACACAUCCUUGUAUGAGGGGUCAAACCAGCUUCCUAAUGGGACCCUUCACUUUUGUUAACAAUACUGGGAUGUGAGGAGAGCAGAGAGAUCUGUCUGCUCUGCAGGGAUGCUCCCAUGCUUGCUUCUGUACCCUCCCACCCCUGAAAGCUUGGCCCAGCCAAUAAUUCUGUGCUGAUCUGCCUCUGCAGAGGGUUUGUCCCAUGCAUUUUUAGAUGGUAACUGAAAGUCUGAAAACAUCAACUGGUCUUAGUGUUAUCUCUUUUGGAGCCAGCCACUUCCUCUUGGUAUCAAACUUGGAAGAACCCCAUAGCCACUGCUGAAAAGCCUUUUCCCUUUCCACAUUUAAAGAUCUUUUUCAAAAUGGUGCUAGGAUGUCCUUGGUGGGGAUUGAAAGGCUUGGAACAAGCCAAUGCAAGUGUUAGUUUUACUGAAAGUGAGCAGGAUGUUCUUCCCUGAUAGCUGCCUGUCUUUAAGGGAAGGAAUUGCAGGAAAGCAUCCACAGCUCCAGGGCAGCUUAGCAGAGGAGGAAAGUCAUGCCUUUUUUUGUGCUUCGUGAUAAACAAAGGCAGGAAAGCAAAGAACAGGAUUCACUUGGUGUGGAGCAAACCUUGCCAUCCACAACACCACUGUCCUGGCUCAGGUGUAUGUGGAGGCUCCCAUAGUUCUCUGGCUUAGAGAGCCAGCUAUGUCGAUCCCACAUCCCUGCUGCUGGCAGCCACAGCUGGGGAGGGGCAGGCACUUCUCAACGCACCAUGCUCCACCCCACAAUCUGCUUUGGGAGAGAACUGUGAGCAGCUUUGGUAUACUGGAAAGCAGUUACACAGGCAUUAUAUUUCUCUUUUCAGGGACAGAAUGAAAACUUCCAGUUCCCAAAUCUGCAGGACAGCAC